rnacentral:rRNA from 1 species
UUUCCUACGGGAGGCAGCAGUGAGGAAUAUUGGUCAAUGGGCGCGAGCCUGAACCAGCCAAGUAGCGUGAAGGAUGACUGCCCUACGGGUUGUAAACUUCUUUUAUAAAGGAAUAAAGUGAGGCACGUGUGCCUUUUUGUAUGUACUUUAUGAAUAAGGAUCGGCUAACUCCGUGCCAGCAGCCGCGGUAAUACGGAGGAUGCGAGCGUUAUCCGGAUUUAUUGGGUUUAAAGGGUGUGUAGGCGGUCCGGAAAGUCAGCGGUAAAAGCCCGGGGCUCAACCCCGGCGAGCCGUUGAAACUGUCG